GAGAAAAAAAAAAAGAAUGAGCUAUUAUUAAAAGAACAAACCAUGCACGAAAUUGAUGUCAGCACGCUGGCAGAAAAAAAAAAAAGAAAAACAAAUCUCCAUCUGGCUGUAUAAAAAUAAUCCCUGAGUACCUACACGUGGUUUUGAUCUCCUCAGUACUAGAUCUGGGUUUCCAGAAGGCACUCAGUUUAUAAAUUGCUCCAGGACUGAGAGAGUAAGAUAACCAAGCGCAGAAUAAUACUACAAAGUCUGGGGGACCGCAAACACCACCUGAUGCCUAUGGGUGAUGUGUGGUAAUCUCAUCCUCUGAAUGUUUUUAUUCCUUGUCUCUCAAAUGCUGAGUUCCACAACACCAGCCUUAGUAACUCGAGGAAGUUUUGCCUUGAACGGUACACGGUUAUUUCUCCCAGGGGCAGGACUUUGCACUUCCCUUUAUUAAACUUCAUGAGAUUCCUGGCUGCCCAUUUUUCCGGCCUGCUGAAUUUAAUGAAGACUUGCCAGUCUUCUAAGCGCUCCCAUCACAGUGAUCCUUAUAUGCACUUCUCCAUUCACCUGCAACAAUCACUACCAAAAUAAGGGCUUCCAAACGACGGUACAGGGAGAAAAGGAUAAAAGGAAAGGAGUAAUUUAUUUAGAGAAGUUGACAAGAACAGAUCCCGCUAUAUCUUCUUUAUUUGAAAGGUGCAGCUAAAUCCAGCUACUUCUAUAAUCAAUAGCAAUUGGUAUAUGGCAAAAAAAACACCACCACCACAUUUUGAAGGUUUAAGGUGUCCUCCCACCAAUUUAAAUUUGCCCUAACUAUGUGAUAUCCUCCCCCUGCUCCAAAUGCUUCUACAGCUCCCUACUGCAAUAUAAGUCCAUUUCUCUCCAAGAAGGCUAUAGCCCACUUGGGUUAUUUUCUUCUAAUGAUCUGCAUUAUUUCAACAACCCAGGUAACCGCAGCCAGUGAAACAGAAGACAAUUCAAAGCACGCUGGAUUUCAGAUUUAUAAAGACUCUGCAGGGAGAGCACAAUCCAUCACUGCUGGGGCUGGGAACCAGCCCGCAGUAAAUUCCCAUAAUCUAACUCAGCAUCUGCUUCACACAGGUCAGGCACCAGCUAAAAUUACAACUGCUCUAUUUCCAUCGCAUGGAGCUGAAACGAAAAAAUAUUCUUCCCAGUUAGUGGUUAGAAGCUCAGCUAUUUCAACUUUUUAGUAGCUUCCUCAAUUCUGAAAGAACAGAAUAGGUAAGGUUUGCCUUCUUCUGGCUCCUAGAUCCAAAAUGAACUAAAGUAAAAUAACAGUUUGAAAUUAAAAAUUAGCUGUACAAUGCAAGCAGGUCCUGAGUUUUUAUUAAAACCUGCUCAACUAUUUCUGAAUCCAGAAGGUGACAUUUUAGGUAUGCAUUUCACUGAGACUUUUUGACACAUUAGAGUAAAUGAUGUUGGGUUAAAAAAAAAAUAUGGGGAGUUCCAGACUAGUACCAGAACAGCAGCUCUGCAAAAGUGCCCGUCUCACCACAGCUUUUCCAAAUCACCAACACCACUUCCAGCAAGAUGGAGCGCAAGUGCUGUACAGCCCACAGGUGUGACAGACAUGUAUUAUAACAAACAGAUAGGCAAGUCAAGGGAGUGUUUUUCCUAGAGCUCAGGUUCUACCAGCCGCGAUCUCACCAUGGGAAUGUGCUCAGCAGCCUCCGCCCGAGAAGUGGUGAUGAUUCAGCAGAAGUCAAACAGAAAUAAAACCCGGCUGCCUCGCUUCUUUGCACGUUACCAGCCAUGCCAACGCAAAGAGGCUUCCAUCCUUUGCCACUCACAGCCCUGGGGCCGCAGGGGUGUCCCCACUCCCGUGCUGGAAGUCUGGAGGAGAUGAAGAUGGGAAGGCACCGCUGGGGAGGCACAGGAGGGUCUUCAAGUGCCUCUUUUUCCUUCAAACUCUUGUGCUAUUCCUGCCGAGCCUGCUCAUGCUCAAGCUCCUGCCUACAGAGGUAUGGAGGAAAGCACAAAUGGCUGCACUGCAGCAAGGCCACGGUUCAUCUAACAUCAGCUGCUGCAAAGUAAAGAGCAAAGAAACCUGCACAGAACAUCGAUCUGCCCCUACUUACAUGAUUUUCUAAUUGCUGGUAGGGAGGACUUCACACCCUUAAGUUUUUCAUAUUUUCUCAAACACUGUUCUCUCCCUUCAGGUUUCAGAGGCACUUCCUGAAGUCCCCUGGGGAUAACACCUGCCUUUGCCAGAUCUGGUGGCUGUCUGUAACAACACCCCAGCCACAUCAGCAGCUCAGGCCACACUAAGGAGAAUAAACAGACUGAAGUGAAACUACUUCUGUGCCAUACACCUCUGCCAGUUGUUUCUUUUAGCAAGAGUACAACAUACAGCUGAUUCCCUCAGGGCCGUACCCUGCUUGGAGCUUCCCAGGUCACUCCACAGUUUCCUGGUACAUUAUCAGCCAGCCAAUGCCAAGCUCUAUCAGCAAACGCAACCACGACGGAACUGGCAGCAAGCACAGUCCAACCCCGACUCUCUAAAACUCACCAAAAUGCAAUGCCUGGGCAGGAGGCCCACGGGCACCACCCCAGCACAGCCCCUUCCACACGCCCCGCAGUGAGCUGUGGGCACAACCUGACACCCUCCAAGGAGGACUGGGCUACUGCUUCAUUUUACUGUACAUCCUUCUCCAGAAAAGUAACAAAACAGAUGUACAAACCACAUCAUGGUCCUUAAACUACUGUCAGGGCUUAAGGGUAUUAUUCUCUGUGAAGGAAUCAAAAACUGGCAGCACAGGCACAAGCUUCCAGGCCUACUCAGAUUAAAGGGAAUAUUUCCUCUGCCUCCUAUAUAGCAAGGAUUUUCUUCUCCUUUUAGCUAUAAUUAUUCACAUCGCUCUGCUACUUGAAAAGCAGGAAGGGAUUAGAUGAAUACAAUAAUCAUCCAAAUCUUCACACAGAUUUAGCUGUGCUUAAACAAAUAUUUGCUGGCACUUCGGAUGGAUGCUGAGACCAUAUUACUGUCAGGUCUGCCUGUUUUGUUCUUCAUUAGAGGGCAAAAAUAAACUACACAGAGCAGCAUAUCUUGGUUCGUUUCACACUAUAUAUAAACUAAAAUCCUUUUGUCCCUGGAGCUUGGACAACUACAGGGAUCUGAGCUUCCCACACAUUGCACUUGAUUAGUUCUCAGUACUAAGCAAGUCUCAGCCUUCCUGCCGACAGCAGCCUAACAAAUAUCAUGUGUGUGUUACAAGCCGGAGAAAUGAGACGGGAAUAACCAAAGCCCUUGGAGGAGAUGGAAGUCUACCUGGAUGCUCUGAAAAUGCAUGCACUUACCAAGGAAAGGGUUAGCUAGUGUUUUCAAAAUUUAGCCCUGGAAGUUUAAGGCCAGGCUGGAUGGGGCUUUGAGCAACACUGUCUAGUGGGAGGUGUCCCUGCCCGUGGCAGGGGUUGGAACCAGACAGCCCUUAAGGUCCCUGCCAACCCACACCGCUCUGUGACUCUACCUUGGCUGUGCAAUAGCAUACAACUUGAAGCAGACACUUCGUUCCAGGGUAACCUCACCCAACCAGCUCCGUCAGGGAUUUUCACAUGGUUAGCCUAAGGACAACUGCAGAACAAGGUUUUCAGCUUAGUUUCACUGCUGUUCCUCAGCUCUCUGCUCUUCCAUCUCGAGAAAACAGUGCCAGAUACGUACAACUCCCCAGCAGCGUUCAUAGCUGCAGACCUUACAGCACAGCUACCAACAGAUAGUAGAGGCAGAAGCGGUGACUGAGCGUACGGAGCCUCCUCCAGCACCAUCCAGGGCUGGUUACUGCUGUUCUGAUGGAGGCAGCGCUCCUGCAGCUUAGCACUCCAUCUGCCUCGGGCAGCACCAGCUACAGCAAGCCACUGCUGAAGGUCUGAACUCAGCUGGCUUUGCAGUGAAGCAGCUUUGGAGCACUCGUAUAAUCUUUCUUGCAAAGACCAUGUGAGAGCAGUCAUUUACGGACUGAGACUGUAGCCCAUUACUGAAGGGGAAGGCAUCCUCAGUUGCCCCUACCAUUUUUACUGUGACUGUCUUACCAGAGGAUACCAGGUAUUGGAGAGCAAGGCGUGUGGUUGGCAGCGUGCACAAACAUAUGUAAAAUGAUGCUUCAGGCACUGGACUGACUCCAGGCUGUCCUAGAUGAGCAUUGUGACUCUCAGCUGCUGUCCCACACUCGUUUCUACUACUGCAGUCAAACACACAACACAGCAGCAGAACCACCAGACAGACCCUCGGUGUCUGAGGGGGAGCAGCAAGAGGAAUGCUGUUUCACGCAGCAGAGAUUGCAAGCAUUCACGCUUUCAGUGACUUGCUGCGUAAAUGGAACAUCAUUGCAGUAAUCGUUCUGUAUUUAAAACUAACAGCAUUGAUAAAAAACUCAGUUUUUCUUGGAACCACGUUUCCUGUAAAGGACUCAUGUUUACUUUGGAAGUGUGUUUACUAAAAAUUGUCCUCAUAGUACAUGCUCUUUAAAACAGAAUUCCAUAACCAAACCUUAACUACACAAGCACUGCUCUACAUCUCACAGUUUAUUUGUUCAAAAGUCCUACAAAAACACCUGAGCUUCAUUCCAUGGCUCAUAUUCCGUGCUGCUGCCUUACGGCAUAAAGCCAUGCUAUCUAGGGACCCCCGUUGCUACUGCUGCAAUGCUUUGAUCGUUUAGUCCCUAAUAUCCGUGACAGAAGCUUUCCUUGGGCUAAGCAACAAAAACAGUCACACUGCACUGAACCUAGCCCACAAACCUUCGUUAGCACACCUAACCUGUAAUUUAAACCACCAACUCCAUUCUAUUUCAAAAACGUGUCCCAUUUUUUAAAAUCAACCUUGUACCAUGUGAUUAAAAAUGCAGAAAACUUAAAUAUAGCCAAUUAUUAAAUCAAUUCAUGUCUCUAUUAAUUUUGGGCUUUUCCAAUGCAUGUCUGAAGUGUUUUUCUCUUGACAUUAUAUUCAAGAGCCACACUACCAGCAGGGGAAGGUGAGUUGCAAGGACAAUAUGUUAUGCUGUCAAACAUAGUGCAUAUGCAAACAUCACCAGAGGGGAGAUUUCACAUCACAGUGCUGGUAAUACACUGCUUAUUUUUGUAUGGUGUCUGUUGUUAUGAAAUGCUGCUGGUUUGGCAGGGCCCUUGAGCAAGACACCACAGCAGCCUCAGCAUGGAAACCUGUUUUAAUUCAUCCUAAAGAGGUGAGGGAUGGGAAGACUCUAGUCACAGAAGAAGGGAGAACUGGAGCAUCCCCAACUACUUCUUAGGGGCCGCCCCAGCUCAGACACAGUCCUCUGCACUGCUUUAGCACAAGGCAGGGGAACAGAGGCUGCUCUUGGACAGAGGGACUCCAAACUUCUUUUGUAGGGUCAGCAUUAAAGCAAGAAUAUCUGUCCCCUCUCCCAGGUAUAAUACCAAGUUCUUUUGGUUUAACAUCACAUCAGCUACAGCCACCAAGCAGGAUACCUGUAACAGCAACAGGCAGGCUGUUUUGGAAGGAGAAAUCGCUAUUUCAGAUUAACAUUCUUUUAAAUCACCAUUUGAAAUUUAACCUAAGCAACUCUAAAGGCUGCACACCUUACAAAGAAUGAUUGUUGAUCGUUAGGAACCACAGACAAAGCUAUGCAAUGUGUUCCAGAACAACCCCACUGGUACAUUAGUGUCCUGCAACACAUCACAGAACUGCUGCGCUUCCAAAGCACGUCCCCAAACCCUGCAAACCAAAUGCCUACUGCCACCUGCACUGCACACCAACAAGAAAACAGGUUCAGCGAGUCAAGUUCUCCGCUUCAAAUCCACCGAGCAACCACCUAGAAACGCUGUUUCCCCUGAGCAGCGCUCAGCGCCCCAAGCCGUUUGCCAACCCCACGCUGAGGCGGCCGGACACCCCGAAGCCCACCCCACAGAGCUCCCUGGGGGCGUAUCGCGACAAAACUGCUGCCCCCAGGCGAAAAGGAAGGAGCGAAAACACGAAAAUACCGGACUACCGCUUCCAGGUCACCGCAACGCGAGCACGCACCUUUUAACGACUCCACCCGGCCACGAAGCUGCUCCUUUUCUAACGCCGGCUGUUCUCACUCCUUCCAA